rnacentral:rRNA from 1 species
UACGUAGGGGGCUAGCGUUGUCCGGAUUUAUUGGGCGUAAAGAGCGUGUAGGCGGCCAGGUAGGUCUGGUGUGAAAACUCGAGGCUUAACCUCGAGAUGUCAUCGGAAACCAUCUGGCUAGAGUCCGGAAGAGGAGAGUGGAAUUCCUGGUGUAGCGGUGAAAUGCGCAGAUAUCGGGAAGAACACCCGUGGCUAAGGCGGCUCUCUAGUACGGUACUGACGCUGAGACGCGAAAGCGUGGGGAGCGAACAGG